AACGAACGCUGGCGGCAUGCCUAACACAUGCAAGUCGAACGAAAACAUCGGGUCUAGUGGCGCACGGCUGCGUAACGCGUGGGAACCUGCACUUAGGUUCGGACUAACUCCCCGAAAGGGGUGCUAUUACCAGAUAAUGUCUUCGGACGAAAGAUUUAUCGCCUUUGUAUGGGCCCGCGUUGGAUUAGCUAGUUGGUACGGUAAAAGCCGACCAAGGCGACGAUCCGUAGCUUGUCUGAGAGGAUGAUCAGCCACUCUGGGACUGAGACACGGCCCAGACUCCUACGGGAAGCAGCAGUGGGGAAUAUUGGACAGCGGGCGAAAUCCUGAUCCAGUAAUGCCGCUUGAGUGAUGAAGGCCGUAGGGUUGUAAAGCUCUUUUACCCGGGAUGAUAAUGACAGUACCGGGAGAAUAAGCCCCGGCUAACUCCGUG
rnacentral:rRNA from 1 species